ACGGAGUUAGCCGGGGUUCUUCUACUGCUACCGUCAUUAUCUUCACAGUUGAAAGAGCUUUACGAUCCUAAGACCUUCGUCACUCACGCGGCAUGGCUAGAUCAGGGUUUCCCCCAUUGUCUAAGAUUCCCCA
rnacentral:rRNA from 1 species